ensembl:lincRNA
CAAGGGCUGGGCACAGAGUGGUCACUUAGGUGGAGCCCAUUGCUCUCUGUGGGCUGUGGCCAGACUGGCACAGCCUGGGUGUGGGUGGUGCUGAGAAGCUCACGGUGCUGCCUGGAUUUGGCGGCUGUUUCCUGCCUGGGGCUAUUCUCAUUGCAAGAUCUCAGAGAGAGCUCCAGGAAGGGCAUACAGAGGACAGAGAAUGUGAGCUUCAUGGCCCAAAGCAGCUCACACGCCAUCAUUGAUAGGAUGGCAGGGCUUUUCCAGGGGCUAGGGUGACUGCUUGUAGAUUUUACAGCUUCUUUGUUUCAGAUUUUCCCUGUUAACAGCCCAAUGGCCGAUUACUUUGUGUGUCCAUGCCAAUCUGUCCAAGGAUCUGCGCGAUAGGAGGGUGUGUUCUCAAGUUGGUGGCAGGAGUGUGGCAGGACAGGCAGAGAGUGGAGCCUCUUUGGAGCCCAGUCUGGAUGGAGCACUCCAUUGGCAAAACCCACACACGGCCAAGCUCUAUAUCCACGGCAGGUUUGUGUACUAUGUCUUGGGGAAAGAGCUGGGAGCUCAGCCAGGCCACGAUAGCUACAGGGGAGCAGCUGAGGGGCACAGGCAGCAGAUGAGGUCAGGAACCUGGGCUGGCCAGGCGCUGACAUCCUCCAUCAGGGCUUGGACUCAUUCCAUGAUGGGAAGCCCUGGAUCCAGUUUUUUCCCUCUAAAUGUUAGUCAAAGCUUAGCACACAUUAUAAAGUACACAGAUAUAUUAAGUGUGCAGAUGAUUCCCCCACUUAUGAUGGCUCCACUUAAUGAAUUUCAACUUUCCAAUAGUGUGAAAGAAAUUUGCAUUCAGUGGAAACCAUGCUAUUGAAUGCUGGCCUUUUCCUAGAUUAGUGAUCCAUAUGUGGACCAACUGAUCCUCCCUCGGAUGCCAGGCAGAGGCAGCAGCAAGUGCAGCUCCCAGGCAGCCCUGCAAGAAUCACGAGGGGAAACAACCAACUCUCCACUGCUAAGCUGGGGAGUGAAGUAGGUAGGUACAUUAAAUGCAUUUCAACUCAUGACAGUUUUAACCUACGGUGGGUUUCAUGAGCUGUAAGUCCAUCAUAAAUCAAGGGGCACUGGUACAGCUCAGCGAUAAGCUUUUAUAAAAGGAAAAGUUAGUUUUGCCUGUUUGGGAACUUUAUAUAAAUUAAACAAUAUGUAUUCCUUUGUGCCUAUUUUCUCUUGAUUAGGCUUAUGAGUUUCAUUUAUGGCCCUACAUGUAACAGUUAUAUCCCCCUGCCAUUGUGAAAAUGUAUCCCAUUGUAUAAUUACACCUUGAUGUGUGCUGCUGGACACUGGACAGGUACAGUUUGUGGUUGUUAAAAAUAAUCCUUCUCGGCAUGAUAUUUAUGCCUGUAAUCCCAGCACUCGGGAGGUGGAGGCAGGAGCAUCAUGAGUUUGAGGGCAGCCUGGGCUGUGUAGUGAAACCCAGUCUGAAAUAACAACAAUAACAACAAACCAAACACAUAAAGGAAUAAUGUUUCUAAGAAUAUUUUGUUAAUUGCAUUUUUAAAUGCAUAGAUAUAAGCAUUUUCAUCACGCAUAUGUAUGUAUAUGUUCACAGGCCACGUGUAUCAGCUUAUUGGCUAUGUUUAUUAAACCCACUGUGUGUGUGUGUGUGUGUGUGUGUGUGUGUGUGUAUGUGUGUUCAUUCUUCUCCUACUCUAUGACUUGCCUUUUGAGUCUCUUAAAAGUCAAGCAAAGGG